GCUUCUCCAUCGCAGAACAAGGAGCAAGCACCUUGCAAGCUGACGUCACCUUCAGAUGGGUAAUGGAUGUCCCCUUUCCUCCUCCACGCAUUCUUUACCCUGCGGUUUGGCCAACACAGCGAGGAGCCCGAGGAAUGAGUCGUCCCAAACAGGAGCGCAACGCCCACAGGAAUCACAUGCUCUGGUGCCUAACACAGGGAGCAGAUGGUCGACAACAGCGUCAUGGCCUCACAAUGUCAGAUGGCGGUCAGAGGAGAAAAAUCCAGUAUAAGGACAUAUGUUUAAAGGUGCCCCAGAGGGAGAGGACACCCAGACAGACAUUCAAACAGAGAGAAGACUCCAGGCUGCUGACCCUGCCAUCUUGAGCGUGUACAGGCAUCUAAUGGAGAAAUGAAUGGGACACUUACUUCUGGAGCUGGAGCCUUCACGGAGGUGGGCGGAGUCAGAGCCUUCAUGGAGGUGUGCGGUGACUGUUGAACUUCUUUGGAGACA